rnacentral:misc_RNA from 1 species
AACGCACCUUGCGCUCCUCGGCAUUCCGAGGAGCAUGCCUGUUUGAGUGUCGUGUGAUUCUCGAUUCCCUUGACUUUGUUUGUCAUGGGAUCGGACUUGGGAGCUUGUCGUGCCUCUCUCUCUCUGUUCUCUUCUCCCUUUCUCUCUUGGGGGGAGGGGGGUUGUAUGGAAAGGGAAGGGGUGGGUUGGACUCUCCUCGAAUGCAUUAAGCUCGGGUCACGUAGUUUGGCCCCGACGGUUUACGGUGUGAUAGUUUCACUUCAUCGCCGUUUCGACCGUCGGUGCCUGUGCUAUUUAUUUUUUUUGGCCGGGUUUCGAUGUGUGUGUGUGUGCGUGUGUCUGACGCUUGACCUCAAAUCAGGUAGGAUCACCCGCUGAACUUAA